GACGAACGCUGGCGGCGUGCUUAACACAUGCAAGUCGAACGAUGAAACCGGAGCUUGCUCUGGGGGAUUAGUGGCGAACGGGUGAGUAACACGUGAGUAACCUGCCCUGGACUCUGGGAUAAGCGUUGGAAACGACGUCUAAUACCGGAUAGGACCUUGGAUCGCAUGAUCUGGGGUGGAAAGUUUCUUCGGUGCGGGAUGGACUGGCGGCCUAUCAGCUUGUUCGUGAGGUAAGGGCUCACCAAGGCGUCGAAGGGUAGCCGGCCUGAGAGGGUGACCGGACAAACUGGCACUGAGUCACGGCACAGCCGGUGACGAAGGGCAGCAAUUGGGAGAAGUGCGCACUGGGCGAACGCCAGAAGAGGCUGAGCCGCGUGCGGGAUGACAGCCCUCGGAUUGUAAAACGCUUUUAGUAGGGAAGCAUAGCUUCGGCUUGACGGUACCUGCCGAAAAAGCACCGGCUAACUACGUG
rnacentral:rRNA from 1 species